rnacentral:rRNA from 2 species
AAAUUGAAGAGUUUGAUCAUGGCUCAGAUUGAACGCUGGCGGCAGGCCUAACACAUGCAAGUCGAACGGUAACAGGAAACAGCUUGCUGUUUCGCUGACGAGUGGCGGACGGGUGAGUAAUGUCUGGGAAACUGCCUGAUGGAGGGGGAUAACUACUGGAAACGGUAGCUAAUACCGCAUAACGUCGCAAGACCAAAGAGGGGGACCUUAGGGCCUCUUGCCAUCGGAUGUGCCCAGAUGGGAUUAGCUAGUAGGUGGGGUAAAGGCUCACCUAGGCGACGAU